rnacentral:rRNA from 1 species
GUUGAACGCUGGCGGCAUGCUUUACACAUGCAAGUCGAACGGUAACAGGCCGCAAGGUGCUGACGAGUGGCGAACGGGUGAGUAAUGCAUCGGAACGUGCCCAGUCGUGGGGGAUAACGCAGCGAAAGCUGCGCUAAUACCGCAUACGAUCUAUGGAUGAAAGCGGGGGACCGUAAGGCCUCGCGCGAUUGGAGCGGCCGAUGUCAGAUUAGGUAGUUGGUGGGGUAAAGGCUCACCAAGCCAACGAUCUGUAGCUGGUCUGAGAGGACGACCAGCCACACUGGGACUGAGACACGGCCCAGACUCCUACGGGAGGCAGCAGUGGGGAGUUUUGGACAAUGGGCGCAAGCCUGAUCCAGCAAUGCCGCGUGCAGGAAGAAGGCCUUCGGGUUGUAAACUGCUUUUGUACGGAACGAAACGGUCCUGGUUAAUACCUGGGGCUAAUGACGGUACCGUAAGAAUAAGCACCGGCUAACUACGUGCCAGCAGCCGCGGUAAGAC